GGGAAUCCACUCUACCUUUCAAGAAAACCAGGAAAGGCACACGCUUCCACCGUUUAAGUCUGGAGGAAUUUUACAGCCUCUCCAACUACGGUACCUUUUCUGUUUCUUAGUCUAGCCUGUUACUGGGAUGGUUUCAGGAUGAAACUGCUGGCGUAACCCCUGAAGGGUGAAGGGGUGGGAACCACCAAUGGAAAAAAAAAGUCUCCUUUCAAAUUGUAUAAAAUUUCUGCCCAUGUUGAGUUAAGGUGUUAGAGGCUAUGGUUUGGGAAGGAAACUAGUGCUGCUACAACAGGAAAGACCCGAAACCCAGACUUCUUCAGGGGCCCUUAAGAACUUCAUUUUUAAAAAUUUGAAUGCUGUGUGAUGUGCCAUCCAUUUGGAUUUCAUCCCGUGGGAAGGACCCGCCAUGGCCCCUGGCAGCCUGCUCUUGUCACCUGCUCUCAGCUCCAUCGUGGAGCGGCCUUUUCAAGAAGCAGAGAUGCAGCGUGGUAUCUUCUGGAAGAAAAGUGAUGGACCUGCCCGCCCCACACGGAAUCCACACUGGAUGUUUCCUUGAGGACCCCUUAAGGUGGAAGUGUGCACGUGCAUUCUUCAGGCAGCUAAUUAAACAUCAGCUCCUGGGAUCCAGACUGCUCUGUGGUUAUAGGCAAAAUUCUCUGCUUGCCAUGGCUCAUCCGAAAGGGUUUGUACAUGGAAAAGUUCCGAACAGAACAAAGAGACUUGGGUCUGGAUGAGGAAUAAAGUCUUGGCUCUCGCCGAGCCUUUCUAUAACUGCUAUGCGAUGUCAAAUUCCUUGCCGAGAAAAAGCGUCUGGAAGAAAAAGAAUUACAGGCAUUAGGCUCAGUUUCAAGGAGGGAUUUCUGUGUGUGUGUGUGUGUGUCUGGAUUGAAACAGUUAAUCAUUUGCUUCCCAAGGUUACAGUGUGGCUGUGGUUGUGUUCCUUGUUCCGCACAGAGCACUGUGUUUCCUUCUGGAGUCACUCCAGCCCGUGGACUUUGCUCAUAAGUGAUGGGCUUCAGAGGGCUCGGAGCUGGGGCGCUGUACAGCCCGAGAGCGUGACUCUCAGAGUCAGCAGGAUCACAGUGGAGAGCUCACCGUUCGGAAUGUUGACCUUCAUCCCAGCAGGAUUGCAAAUGGAAAGAGUCACAGGGGAGACACUGUGGAAACUUUAAAGGGACCAAGCCUCGGAGAAAUGACCGAAAUAGGUGACAGCUCCAAAGGAGGGGUGGGUGUGUGCUGCCUGCUCCUUUUCUUAGCUGACAUUCCAUGGUCAGCGGAACCCCACCGUAAACAUAAACGGAGAGGCAGUCAUGGACUGAAACGUGCCUCGCUCCAAAGAUCAUUGCUUCCUAAUGUAUGCAGUUCUCUGCCAAAUAAUUGUGCUUCGCCACUUGCUGAGAUGUCCCUUGGUGCCCCUGCCUCUCUGUCCCCAGCUAAUAAUGAGACAGCCUCAGCAAAUGGGCAGAAACUCCUGUGAUUUGGGUGCCUUCCCACCCCACCCCUGCAGCUGAACCCCUUUUAACAUCCACAGAUAUGUUUUCAUUUAACUUCUUUUGUUGUCCUUCCACUGGGCGCUGGUUGUGCUUAGGAUCAGCUACCUCUUGUGCCUGUUAUGUGCGCUGGAAGGCGGCUUUGUAAUUGUGCCUGGUCCUGGAAGCUGGUCCAGGAAUGCUCGCCUGGGCAUCCUCAGUACACGCUGGCUGAGGCGAGGCCAGCAGCCUGGGGGCGUGCGCGUGUGUGUGCUUGUGCGUGCGCACUCAAUUGCGUGUGUGUGUGUGUGUGUGUGUGUGUGUGUGUGUGUGUGUUUUAUUUAGAGGUGGACUUGGAAGGCGUUAUAGCCGAGAGAAGAUUAUUGGAUUAUGAUGCUCCAGUGAGGGCAAUUCCAAGCUCAAAUAGCCACAUUAUGAUUCAGGAUCAAUCACGCCCUGAAAUUCCCCUCUGCGUUCCAAAGUCCGCCUCCCACCCCCUGCGUCUUGCAUUAUCCUGGAGCUGCUUACAUGCUCUUUCUUACCCAAACUGAUCUCUGUAAACAGGGACCCAGGAUUUCAGCCCCAUCUUUGGUUUCUCAGGAGAAAAUAGAGGGGUUUCUUCCCAGUGCCCUCGUGUUGACCUUGCCUGGGGGGAGAGGGGCAGCAGAGCUAAGGAUGACCUCACCCCAUUCCUGCAGGAUUUCCUGAGACAUGGAAGGGCUCAUUCUUCCGCUGUCCUUCCGUGAUCAGCCUCCAUGAGCCUCAGAGCAGAUUAUGGUGACAUCUGAUAUUGUCCCUUUAGGACUUGAGCGUGAGGUCAAGCAAACCCACAAAGCAAUCAUUAUGCUUUCCGCCCGUUCCAGAGAGCUUCUGCGUCAGCUGGAGGCACGGGAGGUGGGCCAGUGAGGUGGGGCACAGUCUAGGAACUGUGCUGUCUGAGGCAGGAAAUCAGCCUGAAAAGAGAUGGAAGGGCUUUGGUGGGAAAGAAAAUGGCACUCUGUUGUUGAUGGAAAAAGAUCUUGGCAGGGCUGUUGUUGUGCGUGUUCUGUGGCUUAGAAAGGAGUUUCCUGCAGGCUGGACUAACCAUUAAAAAUAUCUCUACCUCAGGAGUCCCAGACGUGCAGUGGAGCCUUGCCGGGGGAAAUGUCAGCUUGGACCAUGGGUGCCCGCGGUCUGGACAAGCGAGGAAGUUUCUUUAAGGUAAAAGGCGGCCCUGAUUCGGGUGGGGUUGCUAAUCGGUGGGGGGCGGGGGGGGGGCCUUCCUCUCUGAGCCAGCUUUGGCCUGCAGCCUGCCUGAGCGGCUUCGAGCAACUCCCAGUUUUUACAGUAGCAACGGGCUUCUGUGAGUCAGUGCUUCCAGAAGGGGCUAGGACCCCAGGCUUGGGGAGUUGCCUGUGUGAGACAGUUGAGGCAGCCUUUCUUUGUCAGCUGCUCACCUGGUCCUUUUUCAGCUGGAUGUUUCUUGAUGGGAGCUGGACUUGGCAUUCAAGUGACUCAGGGCGGCUUAUGUGAUUUACACUUUGCUUGAUUCUGUGAAUCACUUAAAUGCUCACUUAAAAAAAGAGAACCACACACAGAUGCCUGGGCCUUACUCUAGAUGGGCUGGUUUUUUGGUUUUUGGGUUUGGUUUUGGCUUUCUGCUGGUAUGUUUUAUCAAACACCUCAGAGGCUAGAGAGAGCCAAGGCAGCAUUAUUAAACUGUACCACUUUUCGGAGUUCCCGUUGUGGCUCAGUGGGUAACGAAUCCGACUAGGAACCAUGAGGUUGUGUGUUCGAUCCCUGACCUUGCUCAGUGGGUUAAGGAUCUGGUGUUGCCGUGAGCUGUGGUGUAGGUUGCAGACGCGGCUAGGAUCCAGAAUCCAGUGUUGCUGUGGCUGUGGUGUAGGCCGGCGCCUACAGCUCCGAUUCGACCCCUAGCCUGGGAACCUCCAUGUGCCGAAGGAGCAGCCCAAGAAAUGGCAAAAAGACAAAUAAUAAUAAUAAUAAUAAUAAAAUAAAACUGUAUCACUUUUCUACUCGCCUGCUGGUGUCACGGGGGUACCGUGCUAGCUUAAUGAGAUAAGAUUCUCAAUGAGUGUUUUCUGUACUCUAUGUGUGUGUGUUUUAAAUUAAGACCGGGAAAUCAUUUCUAAUGCACACUUGGGAAUUCGUUUUCUUCUUUUGGCCUUUGCCUUAUGUUCUUUCAUCCUCCCAACAACGCAUCCUCUUUAUAGAAAAUUUGGAAAUCACAGAAUCGUGUAAAAGAGGAGGGAUAUGGAGGUCAAAUGUGCAGGCAGAUCUGUCAUAGGCAGGUACUCACACCCCAGCUCUUUUCCUCAAAGGAGGAGUGGCAUAGAGGCCUCUUUAUUACUGAGGAAAACUGACCAUAUUUACUAGUUACCCACCCUGACGGGUUGUACGUAUAUAUUAUUUCACAUGUAUGUGCUUCCUGUUUCUAAGAGACCACACCUGAUUUAUUGUCAAUUCAGGGGAAAAAAAAAUCCAUCAGGGAGUUCCUAUCGCGGCUCAUAAGAAACGAAUCUGAUUAGCAUCCAUGAGGACACAGAUUCGAUCCCUGGCCUCACUCAGUCGUGUAAGGAUCCAGCGUUGCCCUGAGCUGUGGUGUAGGUUGCAGGUGCAGCUCGGACCCGGCGUUGCUAUGGGCUGUGGAGUAGGCUGGCAGCUACAGCUCCAAUUUGACCCCUAGCCUGGGAGCCUCCGUAUGCAGCGAGUACAACCCGAAAAAGACAAAAAAAAAAAAAAAAAAAAUCCAUCAGAAGAGCCUGCUGAUAAAGCAAAGCCAAGUUCAUUCAGGCAACUGCCGUCAGGACAUGGGCCUAUUGGAAUCUAAGCAGGGGAAGGUCAGGAGGCACAUUGAUAGGAUUUAGAGGUCCAGGUCCCGGUCUUUUCAGCUCUGUUUUUUUAAGGCAGAGAACUGGUGGAUUUCAGCAAAGUGUGUGGCAUGGUAGUCAGAGUGGGAACAUCGUUCAGAGUUGGUGGAUACAGCAAGACAUGGGUCUUAGCGAGUCUUGAUGCAUAACCCAUGGAUCAGCAAGCUGUUUUGCCAGGUGAGCAAACCCUUUGCCAGGACAGAUGGCUUUGUAGGAAUUUCCUGCCACAGACAGUGAAGUUAUUUAUUGGUUUACAAUAACUUCCUGGAAGAAAGAGUUAAGUUGUGUUGACACAGAUGGUCCUGAUUCUCAGUCCUAAGAGCUAAGCUUUGUGGACAUGGUCAUCUCUGUUCCCAGCCCCGUUUACUCGACUCGAAUCAAAGCUGCAUAACAUCCACCACCAGAGGCACAAGAGGGACCCCUCAAGUGUCCGCUGGAUCAGGGGCUCACCCACCCGGCUCCUGACUCAUCUCCGGUUCCUGGAUUCUGUCUUAGACUGAGAUGUUCAUUUCAUCCUGAUGGAAGGGAUGAACCCAGCCCCCCUUCUCCCAAGGCACUGCCUGCAUCAGCCUAAACACUGGCUGGUCCGUAAUUAACGCCUUAUGCUCAGGAAGUGUGGAGAGGCUGAAGCUCACAGAGUAGUUAGGUUUUCAAGUCCAAACCAAAGGAGAAAAUUGAAUAGAGUCACAAUUGCCUUUGAAAAUUCCCGAGGAAGGGGCCAUGUUGGACCCAAUACGACCUCCUGUUAAGUCCAAUGUAGCCAGUUUUUCCUGCAAUCCUGGGAAAAUCUUGUUGUUGUUUUUAUUUUUUAUUUUUUUCAGUUGAAUAGAGUAGUUAACUUGUAUUUCUGAGCCAUAAGCUAUGAAAGAAUCCAUCAGACAAGGGGUGAGAGACCUACCUGAACCACUGAGGGCAAGUCUGUUUCUUUAUUCUCCUGAGCCAGAUGCCCUAGAGGAAAACAUGUGAAAAGUAGCCUGUACUGGGAGUUCCCGUCGUGGCUCAGCAGAAGCAAAUCUGACUAGCAUCCAUGAAGACGCAGGUUUGAUUCCUGGCAUCGCUCAGUGGGUUAAGAUUCUGGCGAUGCUGUGAGCUAUGGUGUGGGUUACAGAGGAGGGUCAGAUCUGGCGUUGCUGUGGCUGGGGUGUAGGCCAAUGGCUACAGCUCUGAUUCACCCCUAGCCUGGGAACCUCCAUAUGCCGCAGGUGUGGCUCUAAAAAGACAACCGAAAAAAAAAGGUAGCCUGCACUAUGUAACUUGGUGUGUUCUGUAAUUUUUUUUUUUUGGCAGAACUUAAAUUGUUUCAUUUAUUAGAUGCUCCAAGUGAAUCAUAUCAUUGCCUUAUACUUCUUUAUAGACAUUGUUAUUCUUUACUAAUGUGGGUAUUUCUUAGUCAUUAUGGAAUAAUCAUGUCAUUAGCUAUUAUAAUAUUAGAUAAAUCGUAUUCUUCAUUAUCAUUCAUUAUUCCAUAAUUUAGGCACGCGGCUAUCCGCAAGGAAGGAGUCAGCUGCCCUUUGGACAUUUAACACUGACUCCUUGGAAGUUUGUUGUAAAAAUGCAAAGGUAGAGCUUGGCUUGGAGGUGGUUUGUCCCUCAGCACAGCCUGGGACCCGCUGGCUCUUGUUUUACUCCUCAUGUUUUACAUUCACGUGUAUUGAGCAUCUAUGAUCCACCAGGCUCUGUCCUAGGCCCCAGGGAGCAAAAGACCAGCAGCCAUCCCUGACUUCAUGGCACUUUCAGUCUGGCACCAAAGAAGGAUAUGAAACAAAUAGAACAUUAAACACUGAGGAGUUCCCAUCGCGGCUCAGUGAAAAUGAAUCUGACCAGUAUCCAUGAGGACGCAGGUUCGAUCCCUGGCCUUGCUCAGUGGGUUAAGGAUCUGGCGUUGCUGUGAGCUGUGGUGUAGGUCACAGACGCAGCUUGGAUCUGGCGUUGCUGUGGCUGUGGCAUAAGCUAGAGACUACGACUUUGAUUUGACUCCUAGCCUGGGAUCCUCCAUAUGCUGCUGGUGCGGCCCUAAAAAAAAAAAAAAGAAAAAAA
rnacentral:lncRNA from 1 species